rnacentral:rRNA from 1 species
UACAGAGGUCUCAAGCGUUGUUCGGAUUCAUUGGGCGUAAAGGGUGCGUAGGCGGCGGGGCCAGUCAGGUGUGAAAUCCCGGGGCUUAACCCUGGAACUGCAUUUGAUACUGCCUUGCUGGAGAACUGGAGAGGAGACUGGAAUUUACGGUGUAGCAGUGAAAUGCGUAGAGAUCGUAAGGAAGACCAGUGGCGAAGGCGAGUCUCUGGACCGAGAUUGACGCUGAGGCGCGAAAGCUAGGGUAGCAAACGGG